CCUACGGGAGGCUGCAGUCGAGAAUCUUCGGCAAUGCGCGCAAGCGUGACCGAGCGACGCCGUGUGCGGGAUGAAGGCCUUCGGGUUGUAAACCGCUGUCGUAGGGGAGGAAAUUCGUCGGGGUUCUCCCCGGCGAUUGACCUAUCCUAGGAGGAAGGACGGGCUAAGUUCGUGCCAGCAGCCGCGGUAAUACGAACCGUCCAAACGUUAUUCGGAAUCACUGGGCUUAAAGGGUACGUAGGCGGCGCUGUCAGUCGGGUGUGAAAUCCCUCGGCUCAACCGAGGAAUUGCGCCCGAUACUGCAGCGCUCGAGGGAGACAGAGGUAAGCGGAACUGAUGGUGGAGCGGUGAAAUGCGUUGAUAUCAUCAGGAACACCGGUGGCGAAAGCGGCUUACUGGGUCUCUUCUGACGCUGAGGUACGAAAGCUAGGGUAGCGAAG
rnacentral:rRNA from 1 species